rnacentral:rRNA from 1 species
AGAGUUUGAUCCUGGCUCAGGAUGAACGCUGGCGGCGUGCCUAACACAUGCAAGUCGAACGGGAAGCACACCUUCGGGUGUGUGGAGAGUGGCGAACGGGUGAGUAACACGUAGCUAAUCUGCCCUCAAGAGGAGGAUAACUAUCGGAAACGGUAGCUAAUACUCCAUAAGCUCCCGAUCAGUAGAGGAUUGAGAGAAAAGCUAAGGCGCUUGAGGAUGAGGCUGCGGACCAUCAGCUAGUUGGUGAGGUAACGGCUCACCAAGGCAACGACGGUUAGGGGGCCUGAGAGGGUGACCCCCCACACUGGAACUGAGACACGGUCCAGACUUCUACGGAAGGCAGCAGUGAGGAAUAUUGCACAAUGGGCGAAAGCCUGAUGCAGCGACGCCGCGUGGGCGAAGAAGGGCUUCGGCCUGUAAAGUCCUUUUCUGUGUGACGAGAGUGGACGGUAGCACAGGAAUAAGUCUCGGCUAACUACGUGCCAGCAGCCGCGGUAAAACGUAGGAGGCGAGCGUUAUCCGGAGUUACUGGGCGUAAAGCGCGUGCAGGCGGAUGGGUAAGUCACUUAUGAAAGCUCCCGGCUAAACUGGGAGAGGUUGAGUGAAACUGCCGAUCUAGAGUGGAGGAGAGGUUGACGGAAUUCCGCGUGUAGUGGUGAAAUGCGUA